CAGUGUCAGUUCAGCUGGGAGCCAUCAGGCUGGCUCACCUCUGGGCAGAUCAAUUAUCCCUCUGAGGAGGAAUCUGCCACCAAUGCCCAGUGCUGCUGUGCUCACGAUAGCUCCUCGGUAUCACAACACCUCCUCAGAUGGUCUGCAGCUCUCCUGUUGUAAUUAGCACUGCUCUUAGCUGAGAGUGCGUCAGGGGCGGUGGCUACAACGUGGGAGCUGGAAGCUGCUACCUAAGCUGGGGACUCCCCCCCCCAAAAUGCAUGCCUGGGAGACUGCCUGUGCCCUGGUGUGCCCUAGCAGGUGGGUGCCCAGGGUGGAGCUGCUGGACACAUCUCCUGCCAGCAGAGGGAAUGUGUAAAUGUGCCAACUGCUCCCUUCUCUUCUUCGCUUCCAUGAAGAGGACCCUGCCUGGCUGGAGAGCAGGCAGCAGGAUGGGCAGACACUCGGCACCCUGAUGUUAGCUCCUGGAUGGGCUGCAUCUUGAGCUAAGCCAUGCCAGUCUGUGCUCAGCACCCUCAGCAAGGCCCUUCCCAUGUGCACAGGGAGGCAGCUUGUGGUGCAAAACACUGACACAGAUUCUCCUGUGCCAGACCUGCUGCGGUGACAGGGCAGAGCCGAGCCUCCUGCCCAGCCUCUGGCAGGGUGACUGAUCAGAUAAUGUUCUCUAAGCAAAUGCACAAAUAACACGAAUUGGGGUUGGCACUGAGCAGUGAGGUGUAAAAAAAGCAAUUUGAGGUGUUCUAAGAAAAUGCCAGUGCCUCUGAGAUGUGAUUGCCUGUCGGAAAGCUGUGCCCACGGCGCAGGCGCCAGGAGCGCUGCUGGCAAAGUGUCAGCCCCAGGAGAGCAGGAGGUGAGCCUGUGGAAACCUGGGAUUAGAGGCUCCCUGCCUGAUCCUCAGCUCAUUUCAUCUGCUUUGGCUGUGGCAGUUUGUGGCUCUACCAUAAAGUGUGAGGGCAGGGAGAGCCUCUGGUGCAGCACCCCCAGCACGCUGGGAGCUGCUCUGAGCAGUCAGUGGCACAGGAAGGGCUUAAGGAGAGUUGAUGGCUGAGCUGGGGUGGGCACUGGGCUGCUUCGUCCUCAGCGGGUAGGAGGGGAAACAAAAGGUUCAGCAGAGCCAGUGCCAUCCCCUGUUUUCCUGUUACAGCUGUGACAGUGCCAAUCAGAUCCCUCUGCACGCAGCAGCAUGUGUGUCUGGUCUGGGACACAGCCCUCACCCAUGCCCGCUCUGGCUGGUUCUUCCUCUGCCCUGGGCUCCAGCUGAGCCCCCACUGUGGUGGGUGCUGUUGUGCCAUGGUUUCUGAGCCAGCCUGUCUGGGCAGAGCUAGAUGAUAUCUGAGAUGGCAGCCUUGCAUUUCUGCUCCAUUUCCCUCCAGCCUCUGCCUCCUCCCUCUCCUCCUGUAACAUUCAUUAGCUGCAGAGAUGCUGAAGCACCGAGCAGAGGCCGUGUGCAACCUCUGAGUAACCUCGCAGAUGAAACCUGUGCCUUGGCACCCCUACCCUCUCCUCCCUGGGCACUAAUCAGUCCUCACCCCUGCGCCCCAGCAGCUCCCUCUAAUACCAGUGCUGCUCGUUA